AGAAUUGAUCUAAUCAGAACGAACGCUGGCGGCGCGUCUUAAGCAUGCAAGUCGGACGGCAAGGGUUGUGCUUGCACAACUCCUAGAGUGGCGGACUGGUGAGUAACGCGUGGGUGACCUGCCCUCGAGAUGGGGAUAGCCAUUAGAAAUAGUGGAUAAUACCGAAUACGCUCAUGACCCUGUGGGGAUAUGAGGAAAACAGGCUACGGCCUGGCUCGAGGAUGGGCCCGCGUCCCAUUAGCUAGUUGGUGAGGUAACGGCCCACCAAGGCGACGAUGGGUAUCCGGCCUGAGAGGGUGUACGGACACAUUGGGACUGAGAUACGGCCCAAACUCCUACGGGAGGCAGCAGCUAAGAAUAUUCCGCAAUGGACGAAAGUCUGACGGAGCGACGCCGCGUGGAAUGAAGAAGGCCGGAAGGUUGUAAAAUCCUUUUGAAACUGAAGAAUAAGCGUUGUAGGGAAUGACAGCGUGGUGACAGUAGGUUUUGAAUAAGCAACGGCUAAUUACGUGCCAGCAGCUGC
rnacentral:rRNA from 1 species